rnacentral:rRNA from 1 species
GUAGGUGGCAAGCGUUGUCCGGAAUUAUUGGGCGUAAAGCGCGCGCAGGUGGGUUCUUUAAGUCUGAUGUGAAAGCCCCCGGGCUCAACCGGGGAGGGUCAUUGGAAACUGGGGAACUUGAGUGCAGGAGAGGAAAGUGGAAUUCCACGUGUAGCGGUGAAAUGCGUAGAUAUGUGGAGGAACACCAGUGGCGAAGGCGACCUUCUGGCCUGUAACUGACACUGAGGCGCGAAAGCGUGGGGAGCAAACAGGAUUAGAUACCCUGGUAGUCCACGCCGUAAACGAUGAGUGCUAAGUGUUGGGGGGUUUCCGCCCCUCAGUGCUGCAGCUAACGCAUUAAGCACUCCGCCUGGGGAGUACGGUCGCAAGACUG